rnacentral:tRNA from 1 species
GGUUGUGGCUCAGUGGCAGAGCACUUGCCUAGCAUGUGUGAGGCCCUGCAUUCAAUUCUCAGCACCA